GCAGCACUGUGCCAUGCGAACUUUUGUAUGAACCUCGCGAUUGGUUAUAUACCUAUUUCCGAGUGGAUUCGUCGUGAUGAACUUCCCUCUUUUUAAUCUCGUUCUUCAACAUCAGAAGGAUUGGGAAGGGGGAGAGGGGGAAGGAUUCAUCGUAUGUGCCUAAUAGAGACGAAUUGGCAAACUAAGGAAAUGCCCCCUCAUUCGUCUUGGGUAGGUCGAUGACCAAUAACACGCGGAGGUGCCUUAAGGGUUAGGGAUUUCUAGCCAACGCUAUCCCGGCA
rnacentral:sRNA from 2 species